rnacentral:rRNA from 1 species
CUGGCUCAGAACGAACGCUGGUAGCGUGGAUUAGGCAUGCAAGUCGAACGGGAUCCAUGAAGUAGCAAUACGGAUUGGUGAGAGUGGCGGAAGGGCGAGGAACACGUGAGCAACCUGUCCUUGAGGUGGGGAAUAACGUUUGGAAACGAACGCUAAUACCGCAUACGCCCGAAAGGGGAAAGAUUUAUCGGUGAUGGAUGUGCCCGCGUUGGAUUAGCUUGUUGGUGGGGUAACGGCCUACCAAGGCGAUGAUCCAUAGCUGGUCUGAGAGGACGAUCAGCCACGCUGGGACUGAGACACGGCCCAGACUCCUACGGGAGGCAGCAGCUAAGAAUAUUGGACAAGUGGGGGAAACCCUGAUUACCCAGCCAUGCCGCGUGAAUGAAGAAGGCCGUUCGGGUUAGUAAAGUUCUUUUAGUAGUGAAGAUGAUGACAGUAGCUACAAGAAAAGCACCGGCUAACUUCGUGCCAGCCGCAGC